GCGGGAGCUCUGCCUUUAAUGCUAUUCGUCGCUUCAGUCUAUUCGCGAAAGUUCGUCAGGCUCAUAACCUGAAGGUCAUAGGUUCAAAUCCUAUCCCCGCA
rnacentral:tRNA from 1 species